ACCGACCGUUUGCACACCCCUAGUCAUGAAUGUAAUGUUAAAUUUUAGUAUGAUGGUUGAAUGUGAAUGGUUGAGAAUAUUAUAUAUAUACAUAUACUAAUACUAUGAUUGAGAUUAUAUGCUCAAUAUAUUUCAUUUGUUUUAAAUUUAGAACAGUUAAUCAAAUAUUUAUUUUAAGAACUACGUGGGUUUGAUUUCCCAUUUAAUAGGGUUACAUAGGCAACUUGAGGUAAAUUGAAUUUUACCUCAAGCCCAACCCGAACUUUUUCUAAAUAAAAUUUCAAUUGAAUUUUUCAUUAUCUACUUUGAGUUUUGUUCUUCAUUCUGUUGUUUUUUAUUAUUAAGAAAUUUUGUUAUAUAAAAUGAUUUAUUUAAUCCUGCUUUACUUAUUUUAUUGCUAAUUUUGGAUUGUGAAUAUGUUUGAAUUAUGAUACCUUAGCAAUAACAGAUUGAUUCAUAAUAAUAUUAGAGGAAUGGGCAUUAGUUGUUUAAGUUAUAAAGUAAUUCAGCUAGAUUAUAGGUCAGCCUUUUCUUAAAUUUCUGAGGGGUGUGACAGAGAGAAGAAAUGUUGCAGGCAUUUAAACACACAAGAAAACUAAAAAUAAUCAACUACUUUAACCUGCCCAUUCUCAAAUCAACUUAAUCAUUCUCUGCAGAUUCCUUAGAUAUCUAGAUGUAAUCUGCGUUGUGGCUUUCUUUUCCUAGAAAAUAAACUGCAUUUAAGACCAACUUGCUCUGCCUAAAGCAUAAACCAAAAAAGCACAAAGUGAAAUAAAUAAACUUAGUUAAUAAUUAAAUUAAGGAAAUUUGCAGCACGCUCUAACAAAAACGGAGAAAGGGAGGCAGGCAGUACCUGCGGUGGACACAUCGCAUUAG
rnacentral:misc_RNA from 1 species